rnacentral:rRNA from 1 species
AUUGAACGCUGGCGGCAGGCCUAACACAUGCAAGUCGAAUGGUAACAGGAAACAGCUUGCUGUUUCGCUGACGAGUGGCGGACGGGUGAGUAAUGUCUGUGAAACUGCCUGAUGUAGGGGGAUAACUACUGGAAACGGUAGCUAAUACCGCAUAACGUCGCAAGACCAAAGAGGGGGACCUUCGGGCCUCUUGCCAUCAGAUGUGCCCAGAUGGGAUUAGCUAGUAGGUGGGGUAACGGCUCACCUAGGCGACGAUCCCUAGCUGGUCUGAGAGGAUGACCAGCCACACUGGAACUGAGACACGGUCCAGACUCCUACGGGAGGCAGCAGUGGGGAAUAUUGGACAAUGGGCGCAAGCCUGAUGCAGCCAUGCCGCGUGUAUGAAGAAGGCCUUCGGGUUGUAAAGUACUUUCAGCGGGGAGGAAGGGAGUAAAGUUAAUACCUUUGCUCAUUGACGUUACCCGAAGAAGAAGCACCGGCUAACUCCGUG